CAAUAGCGUAUAUUAAAGCUGUUGCGGUUAAAGAGCUCGUAGUUGGAUUUCUGUCAAGGACAACUGGUCCGCCCUCCGGGUGAGCACAUAGUUUGGUCUUGGCAUCUUGUUCAAAACUGUUACUGCGCUUGGUUGUGUGGUGCAGUUUUGGGCACUUUCACUUUGAGGAAAUUGGAGUGUUUCAAGCAGGCACAUGCCUUUGGACACAGUAGCAUGGAAUAAUUAGAUUGGGCUUUUGCUCCAACUUGUCGGUUCCUGGAGCUGAGGUGAGAAUCAAUGGGGAUUGUUGGGGGCAUCUGAAUUUAGCCGUCAGAGGUGAAAUUCUUGGAUCUGCUAAAGACGGACAACUGCGAAAGCGUUUGCCCAGGAUGUUUUCAUUGA
rnacentral:rRNA from 1 species